UUGAGAAUGUAAUUCUAGAGUAGUUUCCACAAUGCAAUGAUUAUCUAAUUUAAUGAACUGUGUCAUUUUAAGAUAUUUCCUUGUGUAAUGUCUAUCAAAGAUAUUGCUUGUUCUUUUGAUUUUGAAUCAAAAAUUGUUUUUGUUUUGAGGGGUGUUUUCACAUCUUCUUAAGCUGAAAUUGGAUGAGAAGAUAAUGGUCUUUGUGAUGAACUUUAUGACUAUUAGAGUACUCUUAAGAUUGUAUCAAGGAAAUCUAUAAUGAGUUAGAAAGGGGAUAUGCUUUUUGGGAGGCGAACAUUAAAAACAAUGUCGUGAGCCGCUAUCUCAUAUUUGAAGGUAUGUCUUUAUAUGAUCAAUUUGAAGUAUCUAAGUUUACAAUAUCCUAUUUUUUGAAAAGAUGCCCAUAAAAUUGAAAGAUAUCAUUGUCAUCCUCAUAAAUCAGAAUAUCUCCUCCUUCGCUCCUUCACCAACUCCUGCAUCGCAAAUCCAAAGACAAUAUCUUUUGUCCUUUGCUAUUCUCAAAUGACAUCCUCAACCACCGCCAUCUAUUGUCGUGUGCCCUUCUUAGUGAUGUCACCAUUGUUGUCCCAAACGCAACAAUUAUUAUCAUUCGAGAACCAUUAACCUUGGUACAUAUGAACACACCUUCCCUUGAUAUCCCUUUCAUUAUUUAUGUCUCUAGGGUUUGCCCAUUUUUGGAAAUCUAUGUAUAAGUGGUGGAAUCAAGUUUAUGAGGGUGGAUUCAAUGUGGGUGUCAAAGAGAUGAGUUCUAGCAUCGUAGUUUUGAUUUAGAACAAAACUAAGGGCUAUACUUAGAAGUGAAAUCUAAUAAUUGAAACAAGUUUUUUUCUCCCACUUGCGGAUACUGUUGACACAUAUAAAUGGGGCACCUUAUGGUUUCUAUUGCAAUUUCUAUAACAUAAUAAUUGUAUAAUUGAUCUCUUCAAUGACCUAUCGUUGUUAUUAUAAGAUACUUGCACAAAGUUCUUUGUGUUAAUGGUAGAUUUUUAGUUAACAAAUGUUGUAUAGAAUGCAAAUCUAAAUUGUACGAGGAUUAAACUAAGGU